CACUGCCGAGAAAAGCCUCUAGAUAGAAAAUAGGUGCCCGUACCGCAAACCGACACAGGUAGUCAAGAUGAGAAUUCUAAGGUGAGCGAGCGAACUCUCGUUAAGGAACUCGGCAAAAUGACCCCGUAACUUCGGGAGAAGGGGUGCUCUUUAGGGUUAACGCCCAGAAGAGCCGCAGUGAAUAGGCCCAAGCGACUGUUUAUCAAAAACACAGGUCUCUGCUAAACCGUAAGGUGAUGUAUAGGGGCUGACGCCUGCCCGGUGCUGGAAGGUUAAGAGGAGUGGUUAGCUUCUGCGAAGCUACGAAUCGAAGCCCCAGUAAACGGCGGCCGUAACUAUAACGGUCCUAAGGUAGCGAAAUUCCUUGUCGGGUAAGUUCCGACCCGCACGAAAGGCGUAACGAUUUGGGCACUGUCUCAACGAGAGACUCGGUGAAAUCAUAGUACCUGUGAAGAUGCAGGUUACCCGCGACAGGACGGAAAGACCCCGUGGAGCUUUACUGUAGCCUGAUAUUGAAAUUCGGCACAGCUUGUACAGGAUAGGUAGGAGCCUUUGAAACGUGAGCGCUAGCUUACGUGGAGGCGCUGGUGGGAUACUACCCUAGCUGUGUUGGCUUUCUAACCCGCACCACUUAUCGUGGUGGGAGACAGUGUCAGGCGGGCAGUUUGACUGGGGCGGUCGCCUCCUAAAAGGUAACGGAGGCGCUCAAAGGUUCCCUCAGAAUGGUUGGAAAUCAUUCAUAGAGUGUAAAGGCAUAAGGGAGCUUGACUGCGAGACCUACAAGUCGAGCAGGGUCGAAAGACGGACUUAGUGAUCCGGUGGUUCCGCAUGGAAGGGCCAUCGCUCAACGGAUAAAAGCUACCCCGGGGAUAACAGGCUUAUCUCCCCCAAGAGUUCACAUCGACGGGGAGGUUUGGCACCUCGAUGUCGGCUCAUCGCAUCCUGGGGCUGUAGUCGGUCCCAAGGGUUGGGCUGUUCGCCCAUUAAAGCGGUACGCGAGCUGGGUUCAGAACGUCGUGAGACAGUUCGGUCCCUAUCCGUCGUGGGCGUAGGAAAUUUGAGAGGAGCUGUCCUUAGUACGAGAGGACCGGGAUGGACAUACCUCUGGUGUACCAGUUGUCGUGCCAACGGCAUAGCUGGGUAGCUAUGUGUGGACGGGAUAAGUGCUGAAAGCAUCUAAGCAUGAAGCCCCCCUCAAGAUGAGAUUUCCCAACUUCGGUUAUAAGAUCCCUCAAAGAUGAUGAGGUUAAUAGGUUCGAGGUGGAAGCAUGGUGACAUGUGGAGCUGACGAAUACUAAUCGAUCGAAGACUUAAUCAA
rnacentral:rRNA from 5 species